CCAGUUAAACGAUAAAGCAGGAUGAGCAUUACAGAACGAAAUUUGUCUCGGAGGAAUAAUCGAUGCCAAGUAGAAACAAAAGGUCUUACGAUGUUCCGAGGUCGAAAUCAUGGAAAAUUAUUCCACGUAGCGUCUGGAUGCGCACGGAAGAGAUAUAAUUGAAGGAAGACCAGGCUGGAUGAAAUGAUCGAUUAUCAUGCGUUGUUGAGCAACCGUCGCUCACUCCAGAGUCUCCAAUUACAUCUUUAUCGGACAGAGCCAUACCUACGCGCCACUACGAUACAUCAUCUUUCCGCUGCUAACUCAUAAGACGAAGUUUCGAGGUUGAGCAAAGAUUUAUGCCAGUUGGCUCGAGCAACGGAACGAACUCGCAACAUGUUUCUCUCGAGUUUUCCUUUCUCGACUCGAGCAUCGUGCGAGUUCAUCGAAGAAAUCAUUGCUCGCACAGUUGUUGGCUGAAUAGCCUCUCCUUGGGACCAUCGACUAUUUUUCCUUGGAAUUUCUUUGGUCGAGAGGAAGUCAAAGAUUGUUAAAGUCACUUGAUCUUAAUGAUAGCUAUUGUGUUUUUGUGUCUUCCUUUCUCUUUGAUAUGAUAAUUAGAAAUGGAGCUUAAACGAGAGACGAUUAAUGUAAAUGAAGUGUAACUGUUGAAUAAUGGUGGCUACUAAAUUUAAAUAAAUGAUUAUUCCAAUUUA